rnacentral:rRNA from 1 species
GACGAACGCUGGCGGCGUGCCUAAUACAUGCAAGUAGAACGCUGAAGGAGGAGCUUGCUUCUCUGGAUGAGUUGCGAACGGGUGAGUAACGCGUAGGUAACCUGCCUGGUAGCGGGGGAUAACUAUUGGAAACGAUAGCUAAUACCGCAUAAGAGUAGAUGUUGCAUGACAUUUACUUAAAAGGUGCAAUUGCAUCACUACCAGAUGGACCUGCGUUGUAUUAGCUAGUUGGUGAGGUAACGGCUCACCAAGGCAACGAUACAUAGCCGACCUGAGAGGGUGAUCGGCCACACUGGGACUGAGACACGGCCCAGACUCCUACGGGAGGCAGCAGUAGGGAAUCUUCGGCAAUGGACGGAAGUCUGACCGAGCAACGCCGCGUGAGUGAAGAAGGUUUUCGGAUCGUAAAGCUCUGUUGUAAGAGAAGAACGGGUGUGAGAGUGGAAAGUUCACACUGUGACGGUAUCUUACCAGAAAGGGACGGCUAACUACGUG